UCCUCGGUGGCUUAGAGGUUAGAGCGCUGGACUAUUGAUUCGGAGGUUGCGGGUUCGAGUCUCGUUCGAGGAG